ACACUCCCUUUGGCAGCACAUAUACUAAAACUGCAGUGAUACAGAGAAGUUAGCGUGACCUCUGUGCAAGGAUGACAUGCAAAUUCAUGAAGCAUUUGAUAAUGUU